rnacentral:rRNA from 1 species
UACGAAGGGUGCAAACGUUGCUCGGAAUUAUUGGGCGUAAAGCGCACGUAGGCGGCUUGGCAAGUCGGAUGUGAAAUCCCUCGGCUCAACCAAGGAAGUGCAUCCGAAACUGCUGAGCUUGAGUACUUAAGAGGAUCGCGGAAUUCCCGGUGUAGAGGUGAAAUUCGUAGAUAUCAGGAGGAACACCGGUGGCGAAGGCGGAUCUCUGGGCCGUAACUGACGCUGAGGAGCGAAAGCAUGGGGAGCGAACAGG